GAUGAACGCUAGCUACAGGCUUAACACAUGCAAGUCGAGGGGAAACGAUAGGGCAAGCUUGCUUUUUCUAGGCGUCGACCGGCGCACGGGUGAGUAACGCGUAUCCAACCUGCCCAUCACCUGGGGAUAACCUUGCGAAAGUAAGACUAAUACCCAAUGACGUCUCUAGAAGACAUCUGAAGGAGAUUAAAGAUUUAUCGACGAUGGAUGGGGAUGCGUCGGAGUAGCUGGUUGGCGGGGUAACGGUCCACCAAGGCGACGACCAGUAGGGGUUCUGAGAGGAAGGUCCCCCACAUUGGAACUGAGACACGGUCCAAACUCCUACGGGAGGCAGCAGUGAGGAAUAUUGGUCAAUGGACGAGAGUCUGAACCAGCCAAGUAGCGUGCAGGAAGACGGCCCUAUGGGUUGUAAACUGCUUUUAUAAGGGAAAAAAGUGAGUCUCGUGAGACUUUUUGCAUGUACCUUAUGAAUAAGGACCGGCUAAUUCCGUGCCAGCCGCCGCAGUAA
rnacentral:rRNA from 1 species